GGGGGGGGGGGGGGGGGGGGUGAGGGGGUGGGGGGCGAAGGGGGGGGCGUGGUUUGCCUUGUGGGGUGCGGGGACGCGGGUGGCGAGCGGGGGAGUGACACGGGAGUGAUGUGCCCCCACCUUGGGUAUAAGCCUGGGAAACUGGGUCUGAUUCCCGCUAGGACUGCAGGGUGGUGCCUGUGGUGGAAAACGAUUUGCUAGUGGUUGGGGCUGAGCUCGCGGCCUAUCAGCUUGUUGGUGGGGUAAUGGCCUACCAAGUCGGCGACGGGUAGCCGGCCUGAGAGGGUGGACGGCCACAGUGGGACUGAGAUACGGCCCAGACUCCUACGGGAGGCAGCAGUGGGGAAUAGUGCACAAUGGGCGGAAGCCUGAUGCAGCGACGCCGCGGGGGGGAUGACGGCCUUCGGGUUGUAAACUCCUUUCGACCGCGAGGAAGCCACCUGGUUGGAAGGGUGGUGACGGUAGUGGUAGAAGAAGCACCGGCUAACUACGUG
rnacentral:rRNA from 1 species